GACGAACGCUGGCGGCGUGCUUAACACAUGCAAGUCGAACGGAAAGGCCCCUUUGGGGGUACUCGAGUGGCGAACGGGUGAGUAACACGUGAGUAACCUGCCCUUGACUUCGGGAUAACUUCAGGAAACUGGGGCUAAUACCGGAUAGGAAUCCUUGCUGCAUGGUGGGGGUUGGAAAGCUUCGGCGGGUUUGGAUGGACUCGCGGCUUAUCAGCUUGUUGGUGGGGUAGUGGCUUACCAAGGCUUUGACGGGUAGCCGGCCUGAGAGGGCGACCGGCCACAUUGGGACUGAGAUACGGCCCAGACUCCUACGGGAGGCAGAAGUGGGGAAUAUUGCACAAUGGGCGGAAGCCUGAUGCAGCAGCGCCGCGGGCGGGAUGACGGCCUUCGGGUUGUAAACCGCUUUCAGCAGGGGCGAAGCUUGUGGUGACGGUACCUGCAGAAGAAGCACCGGCUAACUACGUG
rnacentral:rRNA from 1 species